GCAAAUUCCGUCCUUUUGGCUAAGAUCAAAGUGUUCUUAUCAGCUUAAUAUCUGAUGCGGUCUCUAUUUGAGGCCAUCGAUAUUAAACUGAUUUUUAGAACAAGGUGAAGUGUUAGGGGCUUGCUCUGCCUUUGCCACGGGUUGGCCUGGUAUUGCAUUACUUCCAGGAUUCAGCCCACUGUUU
rnacentral:snRNA from 1 species